rnacentral:tRNA from 1 species
CGGACUGUGGCGUAGCUUGGUAGCGCAUACUUUCGCAAGAAAGUAAGGUCGCAGGUUCAAAUCCUGUCAGUCCGA